rnacentral:rRNA from 1 species
AGCAGUCGCCACGGGAAUACGAAGGGGGCUAGCGUUGUUCGGAAUAACUGGGCGUAAAGGGCGCGUAGGCGGAUCUUUAAGUCAGGGGUGAAAUCCCAAGGCUCAACCUUGGAACUGCCUUUGAUACUGGAGAUCUUGAGUCCGGAAGAGGUGAGUGGAACUGCGAGUGUAGAGGUGAAAUUCGUAGAUAUUCGCAAGAACACCAGUGGCGAAGGCGGCUCACUGGCCCGGUACUGACGCUGAGGCGCGAAAGCGUGGGGAGCAAACAGGAUUAGAUACCCGCGUAGUCCCUGUCUCUUAUAC